rnacentral:rRNA from 1 species
AUGGCCGACGUGAGCCCCUCCCUGAGCCGCGCCGUGGCCACUCGGCCGCCGCGGAGGCGACGGCCGACGACUGGCACGCCCCAGCCACCGGCGGAGACGGCGACGGACAGGAAGAGCAAGGUCACCGGCGCAGAGGCGAGGGCGACAAGCCGCAAGGCGACCACGGCGUGGCUGGUGGCGUACCAGGAGGCCGCGUACGCCUGGGACGACGCGGUGGACGAUCUGGAGGCUCACGUGGAGAAGGAGAAGGAGCAGCAGCCGUCGCCGGAGGGGGCUAGGAGAUCAUCGAUUCUCCGUUGGCUCUUACCAUCAUCAGCUGUCCAUAGGACAGAGAAGAAAUUGAACACCAAUAUUGAAAAGCUGGGCAAGAAAGUGCUUGCGAUUGUACAGCGGGGACGGGAACAAGUUCUUAUACAAAUGGACUGGCAGCGACAUGAUUGGAUAAGUAAAUUUUCCGGGAGUCCGUCCACUAACUCUGGUAGCCUGGGAAACCUAGAGCAGGAAAAGAUGGAGUUGAUUGAUAUUUUGACUGACAGCCAAAGCUCCAGCACUGUUGUUGCCAUAGUUGGGUGCUGUGGAAUUGGCAAGACUACAUUGGCACGAAAGGUAUAUGAUGAUUGCUACACGAGAAAUGUUUUCAAUACAACUAUAUGGGUAGAUGGUUCCAUAGAGUCAACUGGUCCGGGAUUACUGUCCGCGGUUGUACGUGCCGCUGGUGGGAAACCUGGAGCAGAAGAACAAAGUAGGGAGAAAAUUAUGGACAUGUUGGCUGUAAUGCUUGAAGGGAAGAGAUUCUUACUGGUUCUUGAUGAUAUAUCCAGUCACCAUAACCAUGAUAGUUUCCUUGAAGACCGCUCGUUUGUAAAGCAUGGAAGCCGAAUCCUGAUCACAACGCGAGACCAGAGUGUUGCAGCAGGAAUGAAUCGUAGCUACAUUCAUAAUAUGCAGGAAUGGCCAUUCCAAGACUUCUGGACUCUGCUCUGUGCUAGUGCUGGCCUGGACAAGGAACAUGAUCAGGAGAACUUGAGGGAAAUUGUGAUAACAAUUAUCCAGAGGUGUAACAAGGUCCCACUGGCUAUCAAGAUUAUCGGCGGUGUCCUAGCAACCAAGGACCCAACACAGGCGGAGUGGCAGCAGGUUAAUGAAAGUGAACUGUGGUCCUUGGAUCUGGAGGACAUUCCUGGUGGGAUGAAGAAACUGAGUGGGCCUGUCUACAUGGCAUACAGUAAUUUGCCAUACCGUUUGAAGCUAUGUUUCCUUUACUGCCUGCAGCUCCCAGAAGGCUUUGUGAUUAGCCAGCAUGUUGUUACUCAGAUGUGGAUAGCAGAGGGCUUUAUCAUCGAUGAAGAAAAUGACUGUGAUCCUCAAGAUAUCGCAGACCGCUUUUACAGGGAGCUGGUACUCACAAACCUUCUGGAGCCUGAGAUUGGCUCUGCUGACAUGACAAGAUGCACAGUACAUGGAUGUGUCAGGUCAGUUUUGCAACUCUUAAUUAAGCACCGGUGGUUUGGGAAGAACAAGUGGGCAUCUAGUAUUGAAGAAGCAGGAAAUAUGACAAGGUUCAGGACAGUUAUCUGCAAGAAUCCCUUGGCUGACCGUGGCCUGGACAAAGUGUUUAUGGGGCGGAGAUAUUUGAGGGUGUUGGACCUUACUGGCACCGGUAUUAGGCACAUUCCAGGGUCAAUAGCACUUCUCCAUCACCUUAGGCUCUUAAAUCUUUCUCUGACUCAAAUCAUGGAGCUUCCAGAGUCCAUUGAGAGCCUCAGAAAUCUGCAAUUCUUGCUCCUCCGGUGUUGCAAUGGGCUUCAUUCUCUGCCAGAGGGGAUCGGUAAGCUGCACGACUUGCAGUGCCUCGAUCUCGAAGGAUCAGUGCCACAGCUUUUCUUGCCAAGCUUGGUAGGCUUGAAGCAGCUAACUACUCUGCGUGGUUUCAUAGUGAACCACAAGGAAGUAACUGAGAAAGAUGUCAGUGGGUGGCCGUUGGAAGACCUGGAACAUAUGAACUCUUUGAGAAGCCUCCAGAUACUGAAGAUAGACAGAGUUGUGCAGUUUACCAGGGCACAAGAAGCUGCACUGGAGAUGAAGUCUCACCUCACACAGCUUGAUCUAUGUGGUAGCACCAGUGAUAUGCAUCUGCACGUACCAGCGGCAGAAGCUAGAAGGCUCCAUGGAGUUCUCAACAGUCUCUGCCCUCCCGGAUGCCUGGAGUCUCUCAAAAUAGCAAGUUACCACGGGCGAUUAUUUCCAGAUUGGUUACUGCAGCUCCCCAGUCUCCAACGGCUGGUUCUUGCAGAUUGCAAAUUCUGUGAGAGCCUCCCUUGUCUCGGACAGCUACCUCAACUCAAGUUUCUCACCAUAACCAGCUGUUCCAAGUUGCGCACCAUUCAGCGAGGUUGGUACACAAAACCAGCAUUUCUGAAGCUAGAGCAUCUCCAUGUAGAUGACAUGGACAAGUUGGAGUCAUGGACGGGAUUCCAAACUGGUGACUUUCCUUCCCUAAUCAAGUUUCAUCUAGAUAGCUGCCCCAACAUAGAGUCACUCCCAGCUUGCCUUGAGUACUCCAAACAACUGACAAGCAUGAAGGUUGUUGCUGCUGGUAGCCUCAUAGUAAUUGGCAACCUACCCAUGCUCAAAGAGUUAAUUGUGCAAGACAGCAAAACUCUUACUUCUGUCUCCAAUCUUCCAUCACUUGAAGUCCUGAUGGUCAUUGGCUGCUCCAGGCUGCAAGAUGUGAAGGGACUCAGAUGUGUAAAGCACCUCCGCAUAGUAGACAGAGAGCUCACAAGGCUUCCAGAUUGGUUGACAGGGCACGCUUCAGUGCUACAGACAUUGACUGUAUUUGGCACGGAGGAACUGCUUGGCAUGUUAGUUCCCAGUGGCAAAGAUUGGCCGGCCAUUCGUGACAUCGAAAAAGUUUAUGGUAACCUGACUGAUGGAUCUCCAUUCUUCACAUACACAAAGAAGAUGGGCGAUUUCCAAGCAUUUGGAGAGCAACGAGAUCUUGUUGUCAGGUCAGUAGUUGACCAUCAAUUGGAGGGCUGGUCUUCACAUUUCAUAGCUAGGAGUUUUAUCUCUCGAAUCAGCAUGCACAAUACCAUCAAAUGGUAUUUGAUUCCUCUGCUUGCCACUGCCCUGGUGCUUUUGCUGUCCAUGGUUGAGGAGAUUAAAGUCAUAGGAGUCUUCCUCGUCUUCUUCGCUAUCAUAGCAUGCUUUUGGUGUCUUUACUUCUUCAGUAUCUGUAAAGCUUCGAACUAA